CUCCCCCCGAUGGUCCCCACAUUAGUAACAUUGUUCUGUGUAUCGCGGUCCACUUCCUUGAGCACGGUUGUGUUCACAUCUCACACGGACCAAGCGGACUCGGGCACGGUAGCUGAGUACAGUACGAGUACGCCUCAUGUGAAACGUCUCCUGAAAACAGCUCUGAGCUCGCUGAGAACUGAAUCCAGAGCCUACAUGAUGAACACACCACCCUGCACCCUGUGAGUUUCUCUCUACGGGACGUGGACCAUUCUCACUGUUAAAAACGCCGUUUUAAACGCCUUGUUAAAGAAGCUUCUUUGUUAAACUUGUGUGAGGUUGAAAUCAGUGUAAAUAUGUAGCUUUGUAGAGCUGAUCUCUCCAAACACUGAUGUGUUAAAUGAUUGUUCGGUUUGACCGUCUUCAUCUCUGCAGGUUUCUUGAAACAUUUUGCUCAGGAACAAUCAGAGUGAAGGUCGUCUGUGUGUGUUACUGGAGUCCACCUCUCUCACACUGCAGUCACCGUAACUCUCUGCAAGAUGAGCCAGAAUAAAAACAGACGAGUGGAGUUUCAUCUCAGUGGUGAACUGUCUUAAAUUUGUACCAAACACAGAUAAUAAUUCAAUCUGGUUCCUUCCACGUCUUUAAAAGGCCUCCCUAUGAUCACACACGUGAAAUAAAAUCAUCAGUUCAAGAUUCAUCUUCCAGUUGUGUAAAUAGUCUGCUUGUACAUUUUGUAUACAUUUUGUUUUUAUUACUAACAAACCAAAGCAAAUAA